AUUAAACUGAAUCAAUGUAUUAAGCUCAAUUAUGCAACCGAAGGUUCUCUUUUUCUGUAAUUUUAUAUUUUACGUGUCAACUGAAAAUUCUGAACUUUCUGAUGCUUGCGAAGAAAAAUGUCAAUUCAAAGACGAGACGAUCACCUCAAGCUCCAUUAAAAACUGGCCAACUACUUGUGAAUCAGUCUGUGGAAACUUAUAUCUUACUUCAGAAACUGAUCUCUCUGAAAAUCAAUUAAAAGAAACUUUUGGAAAUCUAAAAUAUUUGAUUGGGUCUUUGAAAGUGGUGCACACUAACAUAACGUCUUUGUCGGUUUUGCCAAAACUACAAACUUACUAUUGUGAUGAAGAGGGUCUAAUAAUUGCCCACAACCCAAUGCUUACUGACAUUAAAAUUAUGGAAUACUGGUAUCCAGAAGUGAGACCGUGUAUUUUACAUAUUUACAACAACUCAAAGUUGGACUCCACUCAUCUGUGCGAAAAUUUUUACGUGAUACAACAAGAUUUGGAUGUCUAUGGAAACGCAAGAGAUUGCGGAUGCUCUAACGUUCGGCUUCACCCAAGCUCUCUCCCAUUCUACCGAAACUGUACGAGAAUAACUGGGGGCUUGAGAGGUGUUUUGAAAAUCUCAGAAGUCAGUGAUCAAACCGAUUUGUCAGCGUUAUCAAAUCUGAAAAGCAUUACUGGAAACUUGGAAGUUUAUAACACCGAAUUACAAAAUUUGUCGUUUUUCAAAAAUUUGCAAACUAUUAAUGGGCAAUUAUUUCAAGAGUUUAGUAUUACAAGUAUCCAUGAUAAUCCCAAGUUGACAAGACUGGGACUGGACUCAUUGACGACACUUAUUCCCAUGGAAAAAGGAUUUUCAAUCGCCAUUGCCAAUAAUCAUCCAGAUUUUUGCGUGUCAACCUCCGAAUUUCAACUUUUCACAAAAGUCGGAUUCCACACGGAACAGUUCGAAGCCACGGUCUGCCGUAACUUGGAAAGGAAUGAUGGCCAAAAAGUGUGCUAUUUGGAGAAAUUGAGUACCUUAGAUUCAAACUGCCAACAUAUCAUCGGUGACGUCAUUAUCAACAAUGAUAAUGAGAAUGAUGUCGAAACACUGGAAGAUACAAUAAUGAUUUAUGGAUCUUUGACAAUUGAACAUACUGCGAAUUUGAAGGAUCUGGGCUUUUUCAAAAAUCUCGAACAAGUCGGAACAUUAAGCAAAAGUUUGGGGUUUAACGGUACUCUCAUAAUUUAGGUCGCCUGCGUUUAUCAAACGGAAUUCUUUACACAAAAAUGUAACGUCAGCACAUUGCAAAACCAGUUGAGAAGUCAGCGUCUAAAUUCCCGCAAUUCUUGUAGAUCUUCGUAGAUCAAAUCGACAUUGGGCAGCCUGACACCACGUGAAAUGGGCUACUCACAUGCUGGAAUUUGCUAGUACUUGUAAACAUAAUAGAUAGGAUUAUACAAACGACGAGUACUGGAGGAUUUCCGCCAACGAUAGAUUUUCAGAUAAAGCUCCUGUAAUUCGUUUUCUGUCGAACGAACAGCUUCAGAAUCUGACAUUCCCAAGAAUGAGGUACGCCUCUUUUUCUGUUUUUUCUCUUGAAAAACAGGGUUUCGUCGAAAUUUCUGAUAACUCCCAAACGCUGUUUCAACAUCGCAACGAUUGCAUGCAAUACCAGACGAGGCUCAAAAGUUCUGAAAUUAAAUAUAAUGGGCAUAGUUGCUUGCAAUUGGAACCGGCUCUUGAUUCUCCAGCGGUGGAAAGAUCCGCAAGAUGUGAAAUUGUGAUAAUUUCAAUCCUUGUUAGCUGUCUUGUGCAAAUUUUUUCGUUCUAAACGCAUUAUUUUUUAAUGUUGAGAAAUAAAAGUUUUGAAUUAAA